AGAGCGAACGCUGGCGGCGUACCUAACACAUGCAAGUCGAACGGGGAUCACAGGGUUAGCAAUAACUCUGUGGUUCUAGUGGCGCACGGGUGAGUAACACGUGGGUAACCUGCCCUUGAGACUGGGAUACCCCCUCGAAAGGGGGGCUAAUACCGGAUACGUUCCUUGGAUCGAAAGGUUUGAGGAGGAAAGGUGGCGAAAGCUGCCGCUCUUGGAGGGGCUCGCGGCCUAUCAGCUAGUUGGCGGGGUAACGGCCACCAAGGCUAUGACGGGUAGCUGGUCUGAGAGGACGACCAGCCACACGGGGACUGAGACACGGCCCCGACUCCUACGGAGGCAGCAGUGGGGAAUUUUCCGCAAUGGGCGAAAGCCUGACGGAGUGACGCCGCGUGUGGGACGAAGGCCUUCGGGUCGUAAACCACUGUCAGUGGGAAGAUGGGUGUCGGCGCGAUAACCGCCGGCAUUUGACGGUACCUGCAGAGGAAGCCCGGCUAACUCUGUGCCAGCAGCCGA
rnacentral:rRNA from 1 species